AGUGGCGGACGGGUGAGUAACGCGUGGGUAACCUGCCUCAUACAGGGGGAUAACAGUUAGAAAUGACUGCUAAUACCGCAUAAGACCACAGCACCGCAUGGUGUAGGGGUAAAAACUCCGGUGGUAUGAGAUGGACCCGCGUCUGAUUAGGUAGUUGGUGGGGUAACGGCCUACCAAGCCGACGAUCAGUAGCCAACCUGAGAGGGUGACCGGCCACAUUGGGACUGAGACACGGCCCAA
rnacentral:rRNA from 1 species